CCUACGGGAGGCAGCAGUGGGGAAUUUUCCGCAAUGGGCGAAAGCCUGACGGAGCAAUACCGCGUGAGGGAGGAAAGCCUUUGGGUUGUAAACCUCUUUAAUCAGGGAAGAAAAUUUGACGGUACCUGAAAAAAAAGCAUCGGCUAACUCCGUGCCAGCAGCCGCGGUAAUACGGAGGAUGCAAGCGUUAUCCGGAAUAAUUGGGCGUAAAGGGUCCGCAGGUGGCCAUUCAAGUCUGCUGUCAAAGACCGUGGCUCAACCACGGGAAGGCAGUGGAAACUGUUUAGCUAGUAGAGUACGGUAGGAGUAGAGGGAAUUCCCAGUGUAGCGGUGAAAUGCGUAGAUAUUGGGAAGAACACCGGUGGCGAAAGCGCUCUACUGGGCCGAAACUGACACUGAGGGACGAAAGCUAGGGGAGCGAAAGGGAUUAGAUACCCCUGUAGUCCUAGCUGUAAACGAUGGAUACUAGGUGUAGCUUGUAUCGACCCGAGCUGUACCGAAGCUAACGCGUUAAGUAUCCCGCCUGGGGAGUACGCACGCAAGUGUGAAACUCAAAGGAAUUGACGG
rnacentral:rRNA from 1 species